GGAUGAACGCUGGCGGCGUGCUUAACACAUGCAAGUCGAACGAUGAAGCCCAGCUUGCUGGGUGGAUUAGUGGCGAACGGGUGAGUAACACGUGAGUAACCUGCCCUUAACUCUGGGAUAAGCCUGGGAAACUAGGUCUAAUACCGGAUAGGAGCGCCUACCGCAUGGUGGGUGUUGGAAAGAUUUAUCGGUUUUGGAUGGACUCGCGGCCUAUCAGCUUGUUGGUGAGGUAAUGGCUCACCAAGGCGACGACGGGUAGCCGGCCUGAGAGGGUGACCGGCCACACUGGGACUGAGACACGGCCCAGACUCCUACGGGAGGCAGCAGUGGGGAAUAUUGCACAAUGGGCGMAAGCCUGAUGCAGCGACGCCGCGUGAGGGAUGACGGCCUUCGGGUUGUAAACCUCUUUCAGUAGGGAAGAAGCGAAAGUGACGGUACCUGCAGAAGAAGCACCGGCUAACUACGU
rnacentral:rRNA from 1 species